rfam:Pararhizobium polonicum strain F5.1 contig_0, whole genome shotgun sequence.
CGCAUUCACCAGGGGGGUCCCGACAAGGGGCUGAGAUUCUGCUGGGGUGAAAAGCGGCCAUGCCGCCUUCAUUCAGCGCAGUGACCCGUUGAACCUGAUCCAGUUCAUACUGGCGUAGGGACGGUGCAAGCGCUGUAGC